rnacentral:rRNA from 1 species
UACGGAAGGGGCAAGCGUUGUUCGGAAUCAUUGGGCGUAAAGCGCGUGUAGGCGGUCCGGUAAGUCCGCUGUGAAAGUCGGGGGCUCAACCCUCGAAUGCCGGUGGAUACUGUCGGGCUAGAGUGCGGAAGAGGCGAGUGGAAUUCCUGGUGUAGCGGUGAAAUGCGCAGAUAUCAGGAGGAACACCCGUGGCGAAGGCGGCUUUCUGGGACGGUACUGACGCUGAGACGCGAAAGCGUGGGGAGCGAACAGG